UGAGGCAGGAGAAUCGCUUGAACCCAGGAGGUGGAGGCUGCAGUGAGCCGAGAUCGCACCACUGCACUCCAGCCUGGGUGACAGAGCGAGACUCCAUCUAA
rnacentral:miRNA from 1 species